GGUUAGAAAGUGAAACUUCACACUUAGUUUCGACCUAAGCCCUUGGUACUAUGCUACCUCUAAUCU
rnacentral:tRNA from 1 species